rnacentral:lncRNA from 1 species
CUCAUCGGCCAUGUCGAAGUAAAUUGGUACCCAUUACCUCAUCAAAUUUAUUCGAAGUAAUAAUUUGAUACCUAGUGUCUCAUCGACUCGAAGUCGAAGAAAUCCCUGAACUCUUCUAAUCCUAUGGCAUGCCAUCUAUAUCCGACUCAGCCUGAUACAAUUAAUAGGGUUUAAUUUCACUUUUCAAAUACAACCAAUAUUCAAUUCAAUUCAAAUAAUCAAUAUAUAAUCAAUAUAUAUACCAAUUCAAUCAAUAUAAAUUUAAUUAAUUCAUCACAUACUAAAUCAAUCCAUUUCAAUUGCAAAACACAAUAAUUCUCACCUCAACACUUACCAUAUACAUUAAAUUGAAUUAUAACAAUUAACAACUAAAUUCGGAUUAUAGAAAUACAAACUGGAAAUUAUGAGCUAUUCCUUAUCGACUUUAUAUUUUCUCUUUUUAGUCGAGGGCUCCGGUACGACGUUAGCUACAGAAUUAAAACAAUUAAAAUUCAUCAAUACAAUACAAUUUCACAUUGAAUAUUCCAAUUUUUAUUCAACUUUUGUCUAAAUUCCAAUUUAGUCCCUAAAUUUAGACUAACUUUAUUUCUUCAAAACUAAUUCCAUAUUUUCAUUCAAUUUCCACUGUAAACUAAAUUCAACUCUCUAAUUUCACUCAAAUCCCUAAAUUUCAAAAUUUUUACAAUUUGAUCCCUAAUACUCAAAACUUAUAAUUUAUUUUACAAUUCAACCCCUUUUUCAUUUCUAACUUAAAUUUCUAUCAAUUUAAUCCAAAAUACUUAAAUUAUUCAACAUGAACAACAUCUAAAAAUUCAAUGUUUUCUAAAAUUUCAACAUAGGUUAAGUACUAUUUAAUACUAAGAUUCUACAAACAUAAAAAUUACAAGAAAAGAGACUAAAUUAACUUAUCAAUUAAGCUUUGAACUUUGAAACCUUAAUUUCUCCUUUCUUUCUUUCCCUUUUUCUUUUCUUUCUCUCCCGGUUUCGUUUCUAUUUCUUUUUGUUUCUUUUAUUUAUUAUAUUUACUUAUUAUAAUUUAUAAUAUAAUAUAUAUACCUAAUAAUUAAGAUAUAAUAUUAUAAUAUUAUAAUAUAUAUAUUAACUUUUAAGUUUUAUAAAUAUCUAUUUUAUGCCGUCUCAUUUAUAAGCAAUGGCAUAAUUGUUUAUUUAGUCCCUUUAAUUUUUCUUUAAUCUAUAAUUCAACUUUCACCCUUUAUGCAAUUUAGUCAUUGUACCUAAUUUCUCUUCAUUCAUGCAAAUUCACCUAACAAAAACCUAAUUAACCACACAACUAGCUUCAUAAAUAUUUUUAAUGAAGGGGUUUGUAAGAGGAAACUAAGAAAUAAACACAAUAACAUCUUUUUUUAUGGUAAAAUAUAUAAAUAAUUACUAACAUUUUUUAAUACUUUUAUAUAUAAUUGUAUGUAUUAAAUAAAAUAUACUUAAUUAUUUUUAUGAAUCUAUUUAAUUUCUAUAAUAUUUCAUUCAUAAUUUGAUUACGAAAUUAAAUAAUGUUGGUAUGUCAGCAUGUAAUAAGUGAAAAAUGUCUUAAAAUUGGUUUAGAACUAAGGCCACGUUUGAUUUAGUUGAUGUAAAAGAGAGUGUCGUGUUAAAUAACACCAAAUUUCAAAAUGAUGGAUGAAAGAUAGAGAUUAUUGUUUGGUUGAUGAAAAUUGUGAUAUGUAUUACUCCUCUUAUCUCAUAUUUGCUAUGGGAUAAAAGAUAAGUGUUAUUUGUUAAUAUACUAAUUUACCCUUAUAACCUUUUUUUUUUCUUUUUACAAAUAUUUCAUAGGUGUAGGCUUAAUUUGAUUAAAAGAGCCAUAUAUAUAUAUAUAUAUAUAUGACUUUUCCUUUAUAAUUUUAUUUAUGAAAUUUAACUUUAAACUAUAGUCUUUGUAAUUACAUUUUUUGAAUUUUUAAAAAUUUAAAAAAUUAAUUAAAUGUUGGCAUGUUAUCCAUGUGUAUGUCACAUCAAUAAAGUUAAAAAAUGUUACUUUUUUUUAUCCAUUUUGGAGUAAUUUGACAAAAAAAUGCAAGUUUAAAGGUUAAAAAAGAUGAAAAUUUAAAUGGAGGACUAAAAUAAUAAUUUUUUUUUGUAAAGUUAGAGAUUCAAAUAAAUCCUUAUGCCUAAAUUCUAUAUCUAGUAACUAUAUAUAAAUUAAGAGUUUAAAUUCUAUUAGAUUACCCUAAAAUAACAAUUUAGUCGUACAUUAGAUAAUCUUAGUUAUCUGUCCUAUUUGGGUUGACAUCAAUAUUGUUGUUAAUGCAAGAAAAUAGAGUUCAAGCAUGUUGAAAUGUGUUUAUUCUUCUAUUUAAGGAUUGAAAAGGAAUUAUGACCUUAUGGAUUAUUCUAAACCUUGUAUAAAAAAAUCUUAAAUUUGUGUUAUUUAAUUAUUUUUAUUUUUGUUUAUUCCUCAUACAUUAAUUUGUUUAUUCCAUAAUUUGGUGUUUAUGAUAAUAAAUAUAUCAUUACAUAGUUGAGAAAUUACUGGAAAUCUAUUCUUUCUUUUAAAUAACAAAUAUUAUUUUGAAGAUAUUUUUAUCAUUUAUAAAAUCUAAAAAUAUAUAUUAAAUGAGAUUUGAACUUGAAAUAUUAUCAUAAUUUUUAAUAUCUUUACGUUUUUAAUUUCACUCAAAAUUUCAUUUUUAUUUUUAUAUUAAAUUUUCAUAAAUACAUUUAUUACAUAAUAUUUUUCCACUAAAUGUGUCAAUUACAAAAGUGCAAUAAGAUAUUUUUAUUUAGUUUUUUUAUAAGAUAAUUUUGAGGAUAUCCUCUUAAAUUAAAAUGAUAUAUGAUAAAUUAAAAAUAAAUAUAUAAUCCGAUAAACUGCAUUUGCACUUUUAACUUUUAACAAUAAUAUAAAAAGUGGAAAAUUAUGAAUAAGAAUAUUUGAGUGAUGGGCAGUCAUGAUUAUGCUUAAUAAAGUGAAUGAGGCUGCACCUUUCAUCAUUAUUACUUAGAUUCUGCAUAUCAUUAAAGUAAUAAAAGAGUAUUCUGUAACACUAUUACUCUUCAUCUAAAUACUAAAUAGUAGAUCCACUCAUAAAAAUAAUUAAUUAUAAUUGAUUGAGUCUUAAUUUGACUAAUAUAUGUAUUAUUGUCAAUUUAGAAAUAUAGAUUCGAGUCGCUGAAGUACAUUAUCUUCCUUUUUACAGAUUGAGUAAAGGCUAUGAAUAAUUUUAAACAUUAUGUCAAAAAAAAUAACUAUAUAAUCAGUUUAUUCAAAAAAAAAAAACCAACUAUACUUUUCUAUAAAAAGUAUGGAUUAUUUUUCGUGUUGUUUUUAAAUUUUAUAAAAUUAAAUUUAUUAAAAUAUUUAAUAUUUUCACCAUAUUUUAUAAAAAAAAAAGUUCAUACUUUUAAAACAUUUACAAAUUAUAUAUGUGAUAGUUUUCCCAAAAAAGGAAAAGAAAAUGAUUCAUAUCAAAUCAAAUUAUAAUUUUAACCAUAUAUAUGUUAUAUCCAGUUUUAUCCAUUUGAAUUGGUUUUGAUAAAUAAUUUUAAAUUAAAAAUUAUGGUGUUUUAAUCUUUUAUUAAUUUUAUAUUAUAAAAUAAAAAUCAUUAAAAUGAAAUUUGAUUCAAUUGAAUAAUUAAAAUUUUCUGACUUUUUUUGCAUAUGAUUAAAACAAACAUACUAUAUUUAUUAUCUCUAUCGAAAACAAUUUAAAUUCAAUUAAAAAAAAUGGGAUCAAGCUUAUUCAAAUUAAAUCAUAUUUCUAUAAAAAAAAAAAGUUAGCUACUUUCUUAUUAUAUGAACAAUAAAAGAAACCACCGAACCAUAUUAGAUUCGAUUUAGACGUGGGAAUCAAACAUUUAGGAAAGAGAUGGGGACCUGCCUAGCCUAUGGACAAAUAACAUUAACCAAAGGAUGUGAUUUAUGUCCACAUAUAACUACAACAUCAAACAAAGAUUUCAUCCCCUAUUAUGAUUUUCAUUUUCAUUUUAAAUUGGAUUUUUCUAUUAUUAAAACCGUUAAUUUAUUCAUUAAAUAACAAGUUAAACAUUACGUGACCUAGUUUAAAAUGAAAAGAAACAUAUAAAGAAAAGUAAAAUGUUACUACAUAAGUAUUAAAAGUAAAAUCUAAAAAUAAAGCAAAACUAAAAAAAAAAAAAAAAGGAGAGCGAACGGUGAAAGUUUCAAAAAUCUCAAAACUAAUAUUACACCAUCAAUUUUUACAAUAUAUAUUAAAAUUUCAUUUUAAAUUAUGUCAUAUAAGAUCAGAUGUGUAAUUUAAUGAUUAAAUUAACGAUUUUAAUAAUAGAAUGACUUAAUUGAUACAACUUGGAUAGUUUAAUAUUAUAAAGUCUAAAACCUAAUUUAAAUUGAGGGUUAUAGUUUGAGAAUGUUUGAUGCAAUUAAUUCAAACAAGUAAUAGUGGAUUACUUUUAUUCAUUCAACUUACAAUUGAAAGGUUUUCAUGAAAAGAGAUUCGUCAUGCCCUUUCCUCAUUUUGAAUUUUCUUUGUUUUCGAAAGAAACUCAAGUUGAAAUUAUUAAAGAAUUUUCUGUUAGAUAGGUUUAAUAUUUGUUUACUUAUUUGAAUUUUACAGUAGUUUUAUUUAAUUGACCAUUUUUAUAAAUUUUAUAUAAUUUAUGAUAAACGGUAAAUUAUAUUGGUCAUCACUUAACUAUGGUAGAAUUACUUUUUUUGAUUACUCAACUAUGAAAACAUUUGAUUUGUGAGGUUUAGAUGGAAUAAACGCAUCAGCAACUAUUUUACUUAAUUUUGAAGAUAAAGAAAGGCCGGAAAAUGUUAUGAAAACUCAUUAGACAAUUUUAGAUUGUUGGUUUUCAUAAAAGGCGACACGGUCAAACAGUCGCAGGACGUGGAUUUCUUGCUAUACUAUUUUGAUUCAUGCUUGGUGCUUGGGAAUGUUCCAAAACAUUGCAAGAAAAUGGGGUGAGUUUAUUAGCAUUGAUGAAGAUACAAAUGCUCCAAAAUCGUUCAUGAAAGCUAAUAUCCAAAUUGUGACUUCUAGCUUGCAUCGGAUUGAAAAGAUCAUCGAGUUAAAGUUGGGGAGAGUUCUUUAGCAUCAGGAUGUCUGAAAAUGACCCUGUUAUUCUUCCUAAUUUAAGGUGUAAUUGUCAACUUGAGCAAAGUACUCCUAUUGAGAGCUCAGAUAUAAAUGGCAAAGAUGAUUUUUCUGGCCAUAGUAGGAAUCUGUUACGCAAAGAUAAAGAUAGGUUUGAAGGGGUUAUGGAGGAAACAAGGUCAUAGUGCGAUGAAUCGAUGCGAAAGAAAGACUCCGAUAAAGGCCUUGAGAAAAGAGAUGCAAUCAAUAAGAGACAACAUACUACGAGUAUGAGAGUGUGUGUAAGGGCGGCAGUGAUGGAAAACGUGCAACAUGAUGAUGUAGGAGUUUCGGGUAAUCAAAUGGAUUCAGUUCUUGGAUCGGAUCAAGAACUUAAUGGAACUAGGGUGAUGGUGGAUAUAGAUGACGAUGACGAUAUGGGCCUUUCUUCUAAUAACAGUCUUAAUCAACUCGGUGAGAAUGAUUGGCAACCUACUAUUAAUUUUGAUAUGAAUCCAGCUUUGGAUUGCCCAAAUAUUGAGGACAUUAAUCUUUCGACUGAUAAGGAUGAUGGGUUGGACUCGUCUAACAAUUCAAGGACUUCUACCCAGUCUCAGGAUGGAUAUCUUGGGAAGGGCUCUAAGAAGGAUAUGUAUUUUGGGCUAGUCUUAAAUUUUUCUAAGGUAUUAUUCAAUGUUCAUGAUGUGUGGGCCAAAAUUGCUAAGGGCCUUUCUAUAACAACUCGUUUUUCAGUGGUAUCGAAAAUAGUGGCUUCAAAACUCCAAUUUCGGUGAUCGAUUUUGUAAUAUUUAUGAGGUUAGUAUAAAUUUUAAUUAAAGUUGGAUCUUUAAUUUUUCAAUUGGCUAGUUAAUUAAGGGACAAGGACUAAAUUGUAAAAGUUAAUUUCUAUGAUUUUUUAUUAAUUGGAAGACCAAUUAAGCAAUUAGACCACUAUUAUUUAGUGUAAUGGGGGUGGAUAAAAACAAAUAUCUGCUAAAUCUUGUUAAUUAGGCUUAAGUUAGUUUAAUAAGGUUUAGUUAAAUUAAGUAUAAUUAAUUAUAUGUUAAACCAAGUAUAUAAGUUAAAAUUAAAAGAAAAACAUAAGCUAUUUUGCAUGUUCAUCUUCUUCCCAUUGAAACGAAAAGAAAGAAACAAGGGUUUCAAGUGCUCAACAUUCGACCAACAAUUUGAUAGGUAAAUCAAGUCCUUUUCUUGUAAUUCUUAUGUUUUUGAGGUCUCAAGAGCUUGAUUAGUCUUAAAUGUUUCAUUUGUUGCUAUUUUUGCCAAGUAAGUUCAUAUGGAACUUACUAUGUUAUCUUUGUUAUGUUUGAAUCAUAUUAGAAUAUCUAUUAGUUUAGGGUAAUUGUAAUUUAAUAAUGUUGGCAUCUAAAGGACUAAAUCGUAAAGUAUGGAAAUAUAAUUAUUUUGAAUAGGUACAAUGUAUUGAAUGAAUGUGAAAUGGUUAUAUUAUUGAAUGAUAUUUAUAUGAUGAUAUUAUAAGAUUUGAAAUGGUACGAAAAUGGUAACAGUGCCCGUGUGAACUUAGUAAACAAUUAGGAUACGAAUGACAUUUUAUUGGGUCCAAAAUGGGGAAAAGAAAUGGUUCAAUCGAAAAGAAUGAAAAAGGGUGUUUGAUUAGGGAUUAAUAUGAUAGCUUGAGAUCCAACAUAUGUUGCAGAUUCUCUGAAGCUAGUGUUAGUAGCAUCGAACAAAGCUCGUGUAAGCAACCCUAGUUUGAAACUCGUGUGAGCAGCUCGAAUAUGUCAGCUCGUGUGAGCAAAUUAGUCCUGUGUAUUCGAGUUCAAUUUGAUAUAGUUCUCCGAGCGAAAACAAAAGUUAAAACGAAAGAUAUAUUGAAUGAAUGAAUUAUGUUUGAAUGAAAUCAUAUGUGUAUGCAAAUAGUUCCUGAUAGGUUAAUACAUGUUAUAUGAUGAAUGUUAAACAAGUAUGGAAUCAUGUUAUAAGUUUUUAUCAUGUAAAUGAUCUAACCUUGAAUGUACUUGUUGAUGUGUAUAUGAAAUUGUCACGGGGCUAGAACUUUAGUCUCACAAUUCGUCCGGCCUUAGACGAUUCUAUCGUUUCAAAUGCGCCUAAGUC